rnacentral:rRNA from 1 species
UACAGAGGGAUGGCGAGCGUUAAUCGGAAUUACUGGGCGUAAAGGGUGCGUAGGUGGUUUUUUAGUUGGGUGUGAAAGUCCUGGGCUUAACCUGGGGAUUGCGCUCAAUACUGGGAAGCUAGAGUACUGUAGAGGAAAGUGGAAUUUCCGGUGUAGCGGUGAAAUGCGUAGAUAUCGGAAGGAACAUCAGUGGCGAAGGCGACUUUCUGGACAGCUACUGACACUGAGGCACGAAAGCAUGGGGAGCAA